rnacentral:ncRNA from 1 species
GUAGAUAAAUCAAAUCACGGCGGUCUAUUGUAGAAAUAUAAUAUGAUCAAGUCAAUUUAUAUCGGGAAAAUCCUUAAAGGAUAAUUCCGAGGGAAGUUUUGUUUUGCGAGAGGGGAAGGAAGAGUAAGCAAUCAGCCAACCAACGACGAUUUUUGUCGGGCUGUAUGUGGCUUGGACAACCAUGACCACGAGCCAUGGUACUUUCUCCUCAUUCUCUUGCAGAACAAAAUACCCGUAGAGACUAAACAUUGACGUUCCUGAAAGGGAAUAAGCUAUAGUCCAUUGCCACAAGUAAUUGUGGG